rnacentral:piRNA from 1 species
UCCUCAGAUUCGGUUUGCCGCUCUAAAA